GUUGUGCUAAUACCGCAUUACGCCCUGAGGGGGAAAGCGGGGGAUCGUAAGACCUCGCGUUAUUGGAGCGGCCGAUGUCGGAUUAGCUAGUUGGUGAGGUAAAGGCUCACCAAGGCGACGAUCCGUAGCUGGUCUGAGAGGACGACCAGCCACACUGGGACUGAGACACGGCCCAGACUCCUACGGGAGGCAGCAGUGGGGAAUUUUGGACAAUGGGGGAAACCCUGAUCCAGCCAUUCCGCGUGAGUGAAGAAGGCCUUCGGGUUGUAAAAGCUCUUUCGGCAGGAACGAAACGGUGGGGGCUAAUAUCCCCUGCUAAUGACGGUACCUGCAGAAGAAGCACCGGCUAACUACGUG
rnacentral:rRNA from 1 species